UGCGCGCGGCGCCCUCGCGGACGUGGACUCGGCGGGCGAGACAGGUGGGGCGCGGCGCUUCUGAGCCCGACCCGGUGGCACGGCCAGCCUCGUCCUGCAGCUGAGGCCGGGACGCGAUCUCUGGCUCGUUUCUAACGUGGACAGGCUCGUUGGGAACAACGCAAAUACAGCCACUAACGUGAAAAUGGCAGCGAGUACCCGACAGCCUCCGCCAGAACUGCAUGAUUCAAGGACAAACGUGCACAUGAAGGGCUUUUAAAACGCUGCCCAGAGACAAGCGGAGAGAACGUCGCGCGCACACGCAAGGCGGGAGCAGAGGGACUUCCGGGGAGCGCGGAGGAGAGACAGGCUCGGCAGCGGGUGGGGACGGGGAAGGGGGCAGGGGGCUACAGCUCUGCUCCCAGGCCGGCGUGCCACUCCCGGGUGGGGCGCGUCCUUCCAAACACGAACCAAACCCAGACCUUCGAGGCCAUAGUCACAAGCA